rnacentral:rRNA from 1 species
CGAACGGUAACAGGAAGCAGCUUGCUUCUUGCUGACGAGUGGCGGACGGGUGAGUAAUGUCUGGGAAACUGCCUGAUGGAGGGGGAUAACUACUGGAAACGGUAGCUAAUACCGCAUAACGUCGCAAGACCAAAGAGGGGGACCUUCGGGCCUCUUGCCAUCGGAUGUGCCCAGAUGGGAUUAGCUUGUGGUGGGGUAACGGCUCACCAGGCGACGAUCCCUAGCUGGUCUGAGAGGAUGACCAGCCACACUGGAACUGAGACACGGUCCAGACUCCUACGGGAGGCAGCAGUGGGGAAUAUUGCACAAUGGGCGCAAGCCUGAUGCAGCCAUGCCGCGUGUAUGAAGAAGGCCUUCGGGUUGUAAAGUACUUUCAGCGGGGAGGAAGGGAGUAAAGUUAAUACCUUUGCUCAUUGACGUUACCCGCAGAAGAAGCACCGGCUAACUCCGUGCCAGCAGCCGCGGUAAUACGGAGGGUGCAAGCGUUAAUCGGAAUUACUGGGCGUAAAGCGCACGCAGGCGGUUUGUUAAGUCAGAUGUGAAAUCCCCGGGCUCAACCUGGGAACUGCAUCUGAUACUGGCAAGCUUGAGUCUCGUAGAGGGGGGUAGAAUUCCAGGUGUAGCGGUGAAAUGCGUAGAGAUCUGGAGGAAUACCGGUGGCGAAGGCGGCCCCC